CUGCGAGUUCGCGGGAGAGUAGGUUAUUGCCAGGGUUUUUAUUUUAUACUUUAAACUUUGAUUUUAUUUUUAUGUUUUUUAAAUAUUGGUGUUUUUGAAUGUGUUGUUUAAAUAACAUAAAAAAUAAAAUAUAUAUUGACAUGUAUUAAACAAAGAUAUAUAUUAUUUUAUGUUGUAUAAAUAAAUUGGCAAAAUAGAGAUGGAAGAUAAAAAUAUGGUCAAAGUAAUAAGAGUCUAUGGUGAAUGCCU
rnacentral:misc_RNA from 1 species